rnacentral:rRNA from 1 species
GACGAACGCUGGCGGCGUGCUUAACACAUGCAAGUCGAACGGAAAGGCCCUGCUUUUGUGGGGUGCUCGAGUGGCGAACGGGUGAGUAACACGUGAGUAACCUGCCCUUGACUUUGGGAUAACUUCAGGAGACUGGGGCUAAUACCGGAUAGGAGCUCCUGCUGCAUGGUGGGGGUUGGAAAGUUUCGGCGGUUGGGGAUGGACUCGCGGCUUAUCAGCUUGUUGGUGGGGUAGUGGCUUACCAAGGCUUUGACGGGUAGCCGGCCUGAGAGGGUGACCGGCCACAUUGGGACUGAGAUACGGCCCAGACUCCUACGGGAGGCAGCAGUGGGGAAUAUUGCACAAUGGGCGGAAGCCUGAUGCAGCAACGCCGCGUGCGGGAUGACGACCUUCGGGUUGUAAACCGCUUUCGCCUGUGACGAAGCGUGAGUGACGGUAAUGGGUAAAGAAGCACCGGCUAACUACGUG